rnacentral:tRNA from 1 species
GCUCCUGUAGUCUAGAGGCCAAGGAUACUGCCCUCUCGAGGCAGUGACCCGGGUUCAAAUCCCGGCGGGAGCA